UGGCAGACACUAUGGAAUCCUGAAGAGAGCAUCUGCCAGGAAGGAGGCAGAUGCAUUGGCCAUGAGAGAAGGUAACUGUGAUUCCAAAGAAACACUUCUCUGAGGGAGUGGCGUGUUGGGUGGUGUGCUCCAUUUGACCCUCAUAUAUGUGAACAUACACAUCCGGAUGGGCCAUCUGCCCUCUGCUAAAAUAAAUGUGAGAUAGCUUACAAGUGUGAAGUCAUUGCAGCAGGUUUAAGACACGAUGAAAAUUUUACAAGAUAAAAGUAACAACAUCUAACUCUUCAUCAGAUUUAACAUGAGAACAAUGCGGGGGGGGUGGGGGGCAAAUUUAAUGCUGUUAUUUUUGGAAGCCAGCAGGAGAAUCAAGUUUAUGGAUAUUUUUGAGGACUAGCUGAUGAAGAGGUAAAUCACGUACUAUCCAUGCCAGCUUAACAACCACCAACAUGAGCACUGAAAUCAAAGGCAAUGUUUGUGAUCAGGAACCACGUGGGCUGUGUAGACCUCAACAAAGCAUAAACAGAGCGGUGAGAGCAAAAAGAACAGUGCAGCCAGCUUCACUGGCUGAGCUGCUGGUGGCUGCACUGCACAGGCUGACGUGGUACCUACCCUCUGUUAUUGCAGUAGGAACUCUACAGAGAAAAUCGUGAUCGAUGCCAUCAAGGAAAAGGUGGAGAAGUCCAUCAUCACGUGUACCUUUGCCAAUGACCGCCCGGAUGAGUCAAAAGGCCAAAAUACUGCAAGUUCCAUUAGUCGAUAGAUGUGGCCUAGGCUUAGCUGGAACCACCGCAAAUACCAUCCGCAUUAUCUUAGAUCCACAUGGAAUGCAUCACAAGUAUAAUGUCUUUAAAGUUGGAAGCCUGGGCUCACAUCAAAUCUCUGCUUUCGGCAGAAAUCAAUGCAACAGUAAUGCAGUUUUCUGAUCCGCAUGAUUGGAGCUUCCAGAGGUGUAAGCCUGGUGUGCCCUGAUACCCACUCUGUCUUGUUUUCUAGGGGAUUCUUUGAUUGAAAAAAAAAAAAAAACCUUUCUGCUUACUAUUGCCAGAUAGUAAUUUUGCCUUUUUCCCCUCCUCGGGAAGCACAAGAUUCCUAGUUGUUUAUCUGUUUCUCUCCGAUAAUUUCCUCUUAGUUAUAAAAGCGCCACAAAAAGGUAAAAUGCUGUAUUUCUAAAUAAGUCUGCUAAAUAAGGUUAGAGAUAUUCCUAAAUAGGCUGUGUUAAAAAUGUAAAGAUUGUUCUACAUCACAUAGGUUUCACCCUCUAAAAGAAAUAGAGGGGGACCCCUGGGUGGCUCAGCGGUUGAGCGUCUGCUUUUGGCUCAAGUCAUGAUCCUGGGGUCCAAGGGAUCGAGUCCCACAUCGAGCUCCCUGCAUGGAGCCUGCUUCUGCUUCUGCCUAUGUCUCUGCCUCUCAUGAAUAAAUAAAAUCUUUUAAAAAAAUAAAUAAUAAAAAAUAAAAUAAAUAAAAGAAAUAGAAAUACAUUCUUAGACUCUGUCUGUAUACUUGUGAAAUAAGUCUCAGAAGCCUAGACUUUUUGCCUGACCUGCCUAAGUAAGUGAAGCCAAACUCCUUUUGCCCAUGUUGGCCUUCGUCUACCAUCCACGGCGGUGUUAUUGGUAUCGUGAUGAGCAUCACUGCCUUCCAGAUUGCCCACCAGAGCAAAAGCAGCCAGUGAGCGGAGCUGUGGGCGGGGGUUGAGGGGGGUCUCUAAACUUUCUCUUGUCUUGGGCUGAGGUGAUCUUCACCCUCAUUUUUUUUUCCUUUUUUUUUCACCCUCAUUUUGAUUUGAAAGUGCACACAGUCCCUGAGAGACGAUGACCGGGGAGCCCUGGGCUCUCAGUGUCUACCUGUAGGUAAGAACUGCAGAAGCCAACUGA
rnacentral:lncRNA from 1 species